rnacentral:rRNA from 1 species
UGGGGAAUAUUGCACAAUGGGCGCAAGCCUGAUGCAGCCAUGCCGCGUGUGUGAAGAAGGCCUUCGGGUUGUAAAGCACUUUCAGCGAGGAGGAAGGUGGUGAAACUUAAUACGUUUCAUCAAUUGACGUUACUCGCAGAAGAAGCACCGGCUAACUCCGUGCCAGCAGCCGCGGUAAUACGGAGGGUGCAAGCGUUAAUCGGAAUUACUGGGCGUAAAGCGCACGCAGGCGGUUUGUUAAGUCAGAUGUGAAAUCCCCAGGCUCAACCUGGGAACUGCAUUUGAAACUGGCAAGCUAGAGUCUCGUAGAGGGGGUAGAAUUCCAGGUGUAGCGGUGAAAUGCGUAGAGAUCUGGAGGAAUACCGGUGGCGAAGGCGGCCCCCUGACGAAGACUGACGCUCAGGUGCGAAAAGCGUGGGGAGCAAAACAGGAUUAGAUACCCUGGUAGUCCACGCUGUAAACGAUGUCGAUUUUGGAGGUUGUGCCCUUGAGGCGUGGCUUCCGGAGCU